UAGUGUACACACUGAAGAAUCAAGAAACACAUUUUGUUGUGUCAUAACAUACGGAAUUAUAAAGUUUUUCUUUUCAAAGUCUGUUAUAGAGAAAACAAAAAUCAGCUAUUCUGUUUUUUCUCUAUUUUUUGUAGGAUAUCUGUUGUUCAUAGUUAAUACCCAUAUUUAUUACCAGGGGUGUGAUUUUUCUGGAAUUUCCCCAAAAUCCAGGUUUUUAGGCUUCCAUUUGUUUGUUUCCUCUGGGUUUGCCUACUUCCAUAGUCCAAAAUCUGUUUUUGGACACCAAACAUUAACAAAAAAAAAAGUUAAGUACCCCUUUCAGACCUUGAAAUCUUUAUGGAAGAUGAUGUUUCAAUGGUUGAUGGUUAAUUAGAGUGCCAUGUGGCCUGCACAAUGACAGAACACCUUUAGUUUCUCCAACUAAUGUCAGGUACCUAAUAGAGUUGGGUUGAGUGUCCUAAAAAUAUCGAAAUUCCAAAUCCCAGUCUUCACCUAGAUUCGAGCCAGAGACCUCUCGCUCAGGAAUCCCAGCACUUAACACUCAGCCACCAGACUCCCCAGACCCAAACAUUAUUGAAACAAAACAAUUGAAGGAUUAGGUAAAAUAAUGGCAGACAAAACUAGUGAAGGAUUAGGUAAAUAAUGGCAGACAAAACUAGUGAAGGAUUAGGUCAUAUAAUGGCAGACAAAACUAGUGAAGGAUUAGGUAAAAUAAUGGCAGACAAAACUAUUUAAGGAUUAGGUAAAAUAAUGGCAGACAAAAUUAGUGAAGGAUUAGGUAAAAUAAUGGCAGACAAAACUAUUGAAGGAUUAGGUAAAAUAAUGGCAGACAAAACUAUUUAAGGAUUAGGUAAAAUAAUGGCAGACAAAACUAUUGAAGGAUUAGGUCAUAAUGGCAGACAAAAUUAGUGAAGGAUUAGGUAAAAUAAUGGCAGACAAAACUAUUUAAGGAUUAGGUAAAAUAAUGGCAGACAAAACUAUUGAAGGAUUAGGUCAUAAUGGCAGACAAAAUUAGUGAAGGAUUAGGUCAUAAUGGCAGACAAAAACUAGUGAAGGAUUAGGUAAAAUAAUGGCAGACAAAACUAGUGAAGGAUUAGGUAAAAUAAUGGCAGACAAAACUAGUGAAGGAUUAGAUAAAAUAAUGGCAGACAAAAUUAGUGAAGGAUUAGGUAAAUAAUGGCAGACAAAACUAGUGAAGGAUUAGGUCAUAAUGGCAGACAAAAUUAGUGAAGGAUUAGGUAAAAUAAUGGCAGACAAAACUAGUGAAGGAUUAGGU